UGACCAAAUAACUGAGCAGAAGUUGAUUGGUUCUGGAUUAUCUUCUCGAGCCCCAUAAAACAUCUUUAUGUGUCUUAAUUCUUGUUCUUAGUUCGAAGGCUUGCACUAUCUUAGUUCUUCAAUAAAGUUUUGAAUGUUGAUCACUCUUCUGUGAUCAACCUAAGCAUGUUUUUAAUUAGUGAUCUUAAUCAAGGCUUGUACUUUGUCUUCGCUUGUAAUAAAAAUUUCUCUGUUGAUCACUCCUGUGAUCAAAUUCAGCAUGUUUUGGAUUACUUGAAUGAUAUUUAUAAG
rnacentral:misc_RNA from 1 species